rnacentral:rRNA from 1 species
GAUCCUGGCUUAGGACGAACGCUGGCGGCGUGCCUAACACAUGCAAGUCGAGCGAGGAGAUCCUUCGGGAUGAUCCUAGCGGCGGACGGGUGAGUAACACGUGGGCAACCUGCCUCAUAGAGAGGAAUAGCCUUCCGAAAGGGAGAUUAAUACCUCAUAACAUUGCAGUUUCGCAUGGAACAGCAAUUAAAGGAGCAAUCCGCUAUGAGAUGGGCCCGCGGCGCAUUAGCUAGUUGGUGAGGUAACGGCUCACCAAGGCGACGAUGCGUAGCCGACCUGAGAGGGUGAUCGGCCACAUUGGGACUGAGACACGGCCCAGACUCCUACGGGAGGCAGCAGUGGGGAAUAUUGCACAAUGGGGGAAACCCUGAUGCAAGCAACGCCGCGUGAGUGAUGACGGCCUUCGGGUUGUAAAGCUCUGUCUUCAGGGACGAUAAUGACGGUACCUGAGGAGGAAGCCACGGCUAACUACGUGCCAGCCGCUGC